rnacentral:rRNA from 1 species
GACGAACGCUGGCGGCGUGCUUAACACAUGCAAGUCGAGCGGUAAGGCCCUUUCGGGGUACGACGAGCGGCGAACGGGUGAGUAACACGUGGGUGACCUGCCCUCAGCUCUGGGAUAAGCCUGGGAAACUGGGUCUAAUACCGGAUAUGACUCCAUGACGCAUGUUGUGGGUGGAAAGCCUUGUGCGGCUGAGGAUGGGCCCGCGGCCUAUCAGCUUGUUGGUGGGGUGAUGGCCUACCAAGGCGACGACGGGUAGCCGGCCU